UUGACAGCACUGGGAACUGCAGUUCUCCAUUUAUCCACAGAACAGGUACUGCACGGGCAGCGGCAGUGCAAGCUUUCCCCCACUGCCCUUCCAUUGUGCCUCAGCCCUGUUCUGGACUGGAGGGACAGCCUCUGAGGGUGAGAGGGACAUUCAGUUUCAAAGUCCAUCCACUACUUUCAUUCU